AGUCGAACGGUAACAGGUUAAGCUGACGAGUGGCGAACGGGUGAGUAAUGCAUCGGAACGUGCCCGAUCGUGGGGGAUAACGCAGCGAAAGCUGCGCUAAUACCGCAUACGAUCUGAGGAUGAAAGCGGGGGACCGUAAGGCCUCGCGCGAUCGGAGCGGCCGAUGUCAGAUUAGGUAGUUGGUGGGGUAAAGGCUCACCAAGCCAACGAUCUGUAGCUGGUCUGAGAGGACGACCAGCCACACUGGGACUGAGACACGGCCCAGACUCCUACGGGAGGCAGCAGUGGGGAAUUUUGGACAAUGGGCGAAAGCCUGAUCCAGCAAUGCCGCGUGCAGGAAGAAGGCCUUCGGGUUGUAAACUGCUUUUGUACGGAGCGAAAAGGCUCUCUCUAAUACAGGGGGCUCAUGACGGUACCGUAAGAAUAAGCACCGGCUAACUACGUGCCAGCAGCCGCGGUAAUACGUAGGGUGCAAGCGUUAAUCGGAAUUACUGGGCGUAAAGCGUGCGCAGGCGGUUUUGUAAGACAGGCGUGAAAUCCCCGGGCUCAACCUGGGAAUGGCGCUUGUGACUGUAAAGCUGGAGUGCGGCAGAGGGGGAUGGAAUUCCGCGUGUAGCAGUGAAAUGCGUAGAUAUGCGGAGGAACACCGAUGGCGAAGGCAAUCCCCUGGGCCUGCACUGACGCUCAUGCACGAAAGCGU
rnacentral:rRNA from 1 species